rnacentral:tRNA from 1 species
GGGGUUGUAGCUCAGUGGUAGAGUGUUCGCCUUGCAUGUGUAAGACACUGCAUUCGAUCCUCAGCACCACA